GAGGAAUGAAUUUCUUCGUUGUGUCAUUCAGAGGAGAUGCAGAAAGGACUAUUUUAGCUGAAGAUACUAGAGAACUGCCUGAUCUUAUGGAUGAACAAGCUGAGCAAUCCGUAAGCAAACUAUAUGUUAUUAAACUUAAUGAUAUGCUUUACAUUACAUAAGAAACCA